GGCGAUCAGAUACCGCCCUAGUUCUGACCGUAAACGAUGCCAACUAGCGAUCCGCCAGUCGACUCAUCGCUCUGGUGGGGAGCUUCCCGGAAACGAAAGUCUUCCGGUUCCGGGGGAAGUAUGGUUGCAAAGCUGAAACUUAAAGGAAUUGACGGAAGGGCACCACCAGGAGUGGAGCCUGCGGCUUAAUUUGACUCAACACGGGGAAACUCACCCGGCCCGGACACCGUAAGGAUUGACAGAUUGAUAGCUUUUUCAUGAUUCGGUGGAUGGUGGUGCAUGGCCGUUCUUAGUUCGUGGAGCGAUUUGUCUGGUUUAUUCCGAUAACGAGCGAGACUCUGGCCUACUAAAUAGUUGACGCAUUGCCACUGUGCGCACAACUUCUUAGAGGGAUUUUCGGUGUUUUCAACCGCACGAAAUUGAGCAAUAACAGGUCUGUGAUGCCCUUAGAUGUCCGGGGCUGCACGCGCGCUACACUGGCAAACGCAACGUGCCUGUCCUGCCCCGAAAGGAGCGGGUAAACCCCCGAAAUUUUGCCGUGAUUGGGAUCGGACAUUGCAACUAUUGUCCGUGAACGAGGAAUUCCUUGUAGGGGCGAGUCAUCAACUCGUCCCGAAUACGUCCCUGCCCUUUGUA
rnacentral:rRNA from 1 species